CUCGUAGGCGGUUCGUCGCGUCCGGUGUGAAAGUCCAUCGCUUAACGGUGGAUCCGCGCCGGGUACGGGCGGGCUUGAGUGCGGUAGGGGAGACUGGAAUUCCCGGUGUAACGGUGGAAUGUGUAGAUAUCGGGAAGAACACCAAUGGCGAAGGCAGGUCUCUGGGCCGUCACUGACGCUGAGGCUCGAAAGCGUGGGGAGCAAACA
rnacentral:rRNA from 1 species